rnacentral:misc_RNA from 1 species
GAUGAAGAACGCAGCGAAAUGCGAUAAGUAAUGUGAAUUGCAGAAUUCAGUGAAUCAUCGAAUCUUUGAACGCACAUUGCGCCCGCUAGUAUUCUGGCGGGCAUGCCUGUCCGAGCGUCAUUUCAACCCUCAAGCCCCCGGGCUUGGUGUUGGGGAUCGGCGAGCCUCCGCGCCCGCCGUCCCCUAAAUCUAGUGGCGGUCUCGCUGUAGCUUCCUCUGCGUAGUAGCACACCUCGCACUGGGAAACAGCGCGGCCACGCCGUUAAACCCCCAACUUCUGAACGUUUGACCUCGGAUAAGGUAGGAAUACCCGCUGAACUUAAGCAUAUCAAUAAGCGGAGGA